rnacentral:rRNA from 1 species
GUCGCACGAGAAAGCAGGGGCAACUCUGUGAGUACAGUGGCGUACGGGUGAGUAACACGUGGAUCAUCUACCUCUUGGCGGGGAAUAACCCUGGGAAACCGGGGCUAAUACCGCAUAAGCUCGUGAGAGGAAACCCGCAAGGGGCCGAGAGAGGAGUCCGCGGCCGAUUAGCUAGUUGGCGAGGUAAUGGCUCACCAAGGCGAAGAUCGGUAGCCGGCCUGAGAGGGCACACGGCCACACUGGCACUGAAACACGGGCCAGACUCCUACGGGAGGCAGCAGUGGGGAAUCUUGCACAAUGGAGGAAACUCUGAUGCAGCGACGCCGCGUGAGCGAUGAAGCCCUUCGGGGUGUAAAGCUCUUUCGACGGGAACGAUGAUGACGGUACCCGAAGAAGAAGCUGCGGCUAACUACGUGCCAGCAGCCGCGGUAAUACGUAGGCAGCGAGCGUUGUUCGGAAUUACUGGGCGUAAAGAGUGUGUAGGCGGUGCUCUAAGUCUGGUGUGAAAUCUCCCGGCUCAACUGGGAGGGUGCGCCGGAAACUGGGGUGCUCGAGUGUGGGAGAGGAAAGCGGAAUUCCUGGUGUAGCGGUGAAAUGCGUAGAUAUCA